GACGAACGCUGGCGGCGUGCUUAACACAUGCAAGUCGAACGGAAAGGCCCUGCUUUUGUGGGGUUCUCGAGUGGCGAACGGGUGAGUAACACGUGAGUAACCUGCCCUUGACUUUGGGAUAACUUCAGGAAACUGGGGCUAAUACCGGAUAGGAGCUCCUGCUGCAUGGUGGGGGUUGGAAAGUUUCGGCGGUUGGGGAUCGACUGGCGGCUUAUCAGCUUGUUGGUGGGGUAGUGGCUUACCAAGGCUUUGACGGGUAGCCGGCCUGAGAGGGUGACCGGCCACAUUGGGACUGAGAUACGGACCAGACUCCUACGGGAGGCAGCAGUGGGGAAUAUUGCACAAUGGGCGGAAGCCUGAUGCAGCAACGCCGCGUGCGGGAUGACGGCCUUCGGGUUGUAAACCGCUUUCGCCUGUGACGAAGCGUGAGUGACGGUAAUGGGUAAAGAAGCACCGGCUAACUACGUG
rnacentral:rRNA from 1 species